rnacentral:lncRNA from 1 species
GUGUUUUAUAUUCUGUUUUGUACAGCCAAGUUUAUCAAUGAAUGAAUAGUUUUUUCAAUGAUAAAUUUGCAGUUUCCAAUGAAUUAACUCCAUAGAGAACAAAAACUACUGUAUUAAAAUAUUCAAUGGGACAGAGUACUUUGCAAAAGUUUAAAUGGACAGGUAAUCACCAACUGAUUUGGGGAGGGGGGUUGGGGUUCUAUUUCCUUUGCAAUAAGUCUGGAAAGCUAACCUAUAAAAUGUACUGUCUGGUAAGGUCACCAUCAUUCUAUUACAGUUUUCAAGUUAACCGUCAAAAAAUGUCAAAAAAUUGCUUAUAAGGGCAAACACUCCUAUGGUCAUUCAAUGGUUUUGGUCAUGAUAUUUUUGCAGCUGUUGUUUUGCUAAUCAAUUUUGUUUUUUACAGUAUCUACUUAGUUUACAAGAAAAUUGGCUUUCAUGCCAGGUGAACUAAAAAGAUUUUUACACAAUUUUUUUUAACAGCUUAUUGCUUUUUAUCAUUCAAACAUGCAAAUCUUUUACCAAUCCUUGAAAAGAAACUACUCUGAACAAAUUGAAAUAAAACUGAA